GACGAACGCUGGCGGCGUGCUUAACACAUGCAAGUCGAGCGGUAAGGCCCUUUCGGGGGUACACGAGCGGCGAACGGGUGAGUAACACGUGGGUGACCUGCCCUCAGCUCUGGGAUAAGCCUGGGAAACCGGGUCUAAUACUGGAUAUGACUCCAUGACGCAUGUUGUGGGGUGGAAAGCCUUGUGCGGCUGAGGAUGGGCCCGCGGCCUAUCAGCUUGUUGGUGGGGUGANGGCCUACCAAGGCGACGACGGGUAGCCGGCCUGAGAGGGCGACCGGCCACACUGGGACUGAGACACGGCCCAGACUCCCACGGGAGGCAGCAGUGGGGAAUCUUGCGCAAUGGGCGAAAGCCCUGACGCAGCGACGCCGCGUGAGGGAUGACGGCCUCGGUUCGUAACGU
rnacentral:rRNA from 1 species